UUUGGAAACCGACUGGCCGAACUCUAAAACGCACAGCCGGCCGAUAAACUUGUUUCCUAACCCUUGUCGAAUCCCGGAUUAGAACGUCGAGGUUACUCUAUAAAUAGCCAUCUCGAGUUCAAAGAGACAAAUAAACCUUUAUUCUUCCUCUCUCUGCGCAAUUUGAACCGUGUUUUUUUCCUCAGAAAUUCCUCCUGGUAGAAUUUAGGGUUGCAUCUAUCCUUCUAUUAAACAGACAUGGAUAUGGAUUUAUCAGAGAAUCAAAUGAUUUUUCGACCACUUUCAGCUGAACAAAUUGCUAUCAACGAGAAGAAAAUGAGCAUGACUUUGGAUGAUAUUAUCAAGAUCUCCAGAAAAACUACUGGCUCUAACCCUAGAAAACCAAGGCCAUAUUUGAACAGAAGGAAGAACGGUCCAACCGUUGAUGGGAAUUUUUCCAACGUAUUGUGUUUGAGGGAAUCUAAACCAUCUAUGAAACGUAACACAAGGUAGAAGUUUCCAAGUGCUGGUGCUCCUUUAAGGAAUUCUACAAGUGUUUGGAGUCGUUUGAAGGUUUCUGACAGACAGGGUUUGCCUACUCAAAGAUACGUAAACCUCCAAGACAAUCAGUAUACCGUAAGAGCGAUUGCCACUAAUGUGCAACCAGCUACAACUCGUACCAGGCCUCUAAUCCGCAACAAGAUGCCUAAUUUGAGCAACUCAAGGUAAAUCGUGGCUUUCUAGUUCCUUCUUACACAUCAAAAGUAUCUCCAGCGUAUUUAAGGAGCUUUUUUC